CACCACUCAAGCCUGGCUUGGUAUUGGGCGCCGCGCCCGUUCGCGCGCCUCAAUGUUCUCCGGCUGAGCCGUCCGUCUCCAAGCGUUGUGGCACUUUAUGUUUCCGCUUUGGGGCACGGGGGGUUCGCGCCGUUAAAUCAUUUUCACAA
rnacentral:misc_RNA from 1 species